rnacentral:lncRNA from 10 species
AGGGUCUCACCAUGUUGCCCAGGCUGGUCUUGAACUCCUGGACUCAUCCUAAAGUGCUGGCCUCUCAUUCCCUGUCUGUGCACACCUCACGGCAAGGGCCAGCCUGUUUCCUCCCGGUCACCUCCAAAUCUUGCUGCUUUUAAUUCAACUCAGAGCAACACAGUUCCUCUGACAUGGGCCUUGGCUGUGCUUCUUUGGGGGUGAAGAGAUUGGGGAGGAAGUCUCCACCCCUGGGAGGCAGAAGCCAGGCAUAGCGCGCUGGCUAGGACUCCAGUACCGUGAAGGGAGGCAGUGAGAGCAGACAUCUGUGCCUCAUUCCUGAUCUCAAGGGGAAAGCAAGAACAAGGGAGGCUUCCUCAGGAUCUCGAACCUGCGGAAGGAGGACCAGUCUGUGUACUUCUGCCAAGUCCAGCUGGACAUACAGAUCAGGGAGGCUGUCGUGGCAGUCCAUCAAGGGGACCCACCUCACCAUCACCCAGGCCCUCAGGCAGCCCCUCCACAGGGCCCCUCUCCUGCCUGGACAGCUCUGCUGGUCUCCCCGUCCCCUGGAGAA